CCAUUGUCUAAGUACAAGAAUUUUACUCUAAAAUUGCGAAUGGCUCAUUAUAUCGGCUUUAACUUAUUUGAUAAUUACAUACUACUUGGAUAACCGUAGUAAUUCUAGGAGAGCUAAUACAUGCCUAUAAACCGGACUUUAGGGAACGGUUGUAUUUAUUAGACACAAACCAACCUUCUUCGGGAGUAUGUUUGGUGAUUCAUAAUAACUUGAUGGAUCGCAUGGUUUUUACCAGCGACAAAUCAUUCAUGUUUCCGCCCUAUCAGCUUUGGAUGGUAGGGUG
rnacentral:rRNA from 14 species